AGUUGCGGGAGGCUCCGCCCACCCGCCUGGAUGUGAUCCAGGAUGUCAUCACAUCCCAUUUUUGAUGCUCUGUGCAUGUGCAGAAGACUGCGCAUGCGUGGCAGUGUGAAUGGAAGCACGCCAAUCUGAGGAUCAACCACUACAGUGUGCAGAACAAAAGAUGAGAAUAAAGUUGGUGCUUUGUACAUACGAGAUCUUCAAUUCAAACAAUGACUUAUCCAGAAGACUCCACACUCUGCGACUGGAUUCUAUACAGUACAGUUUCUUCAGGAACAUUUUUUUUUCCUAAGAAGGAAGAUCACUUGCUUAGCUUUGUAUGAUCAUGCCUUUUAACCGUCACAAGAGGGAGGCAACUGACAAAACAUGCAACGUGACACAAAUACCCUGCUGUGUAUUUAAGUGCAGUGCUUAAAAAGAAGUAUACAGGUUGAUUUGGCUUUCUA